rnacentral:rRNA from 1 species
UACGUAGGGGGGCUAGCGUUGUCCGGAAUCAUUGGGCGUAAAGAGCGUGUAGGCGGCCCGGUAAGUCCGCUGUGAAAGUCGGGGGCUCAACCCUCGAAUGCCGGUGGAUACUGUCGGGCUAGAGUGCGGAAGAGGCGAGUGGAAUUCCUGGUGUAGCGGUGAAAUGCGCAGAUAUCAGGAGGAACACCAAUUGCGAAGGCAGCUCGCUGGGACGUAACUGACGCUGAGACGCGAAAGCGUGGGGAGCAAACAGG